GUGCAUUUUUCCACUCAAGCCUCUUCAGAGCAUCUGCAUUACUCACACACUUCGCUGGAGCUCGAAGCACUCUGCAAAUUACAAACGUGCUUGUACUGCAAAGAGUCUCAGAUUCUCAACAAAGCCAGCAGCAACUGCUUCUUCUUAUGUGUAUCUCCAAAAGUUAUCUGCACUUCAUUAUCUGCGCUUACCAUGGGUCGCUCAACACUGUCUACCGGACGUAAGAGUAGUUUCUGCUCUUUCUCCUCAAGUUGCCCAUAGUAGAGAGGAAGCUGUUGACCAUGACCAUGUCUUAUAUUUGUGCAUUCCUGGUCCUAGAGGUUUCUGGCAUAUAAUGAAGACAAAUAAAUGAAAGAAAAUCUCAUCAGAGUGACAUCAAGAACCAUUUUUUUUAAUUGGCAAUCUGAUUCUAAAAACAUAUGAAAAUGCAAAGGACUUAGUAAAGCCAUAACAUCUUUGAAAAGAAAAACAAAGUGGGAAGACAAACACUACCUGGUUUCAAGAUGAAUUACAGAACUAUAAUCAUCAAGAGAAUGUGGUUCUGACAUCAAGACAGACAAAUACAAAAACAGAAGAAAAUAGAAAAUCCAGAAAUAAACCUACACAAAUACGCA
rnacentral:lncRNA from 12 species